rnacentral:rRNA from 1 species
CCUACGGGCGGCAGCAGUGGGGGAUAUUGCUCAAUGGGCGAAACCCUGAUCCAGCGACGCCGCGUGAGUGAAGAAGUAUUUCGGUAUGUAAAGCUUUUUCAGUAGGGAAGAAAAUGACAGUACCUGACCAAGAAGCCCCGGCUAACUACGUGCCAGCAGCCGCAGUACUACGGAGGGGGCCAGCGUCAUCCGGAUUUACUGGGUGUAAAGGGAGCGUAGACGGUUUUGUAAGGCAGGAGUGAAAGCCCGGGGCCCAACCCCGGGACUGCUGUUGAAACUGUGUAACUGGAGUACAGGAGGGGCAGGCGGAAUGCCUGGUGUAGCGGUGAAAUGCGUAGAUAUCAGGAGGAACACCGACGGCGAAGGCGGCCUGCUGGACUGAAACUGACGUUGAGGCUCGAAAGCGUGGGGAGCAAACAGGAUUAGAUACCCCUGUAGUC